rnacentral:rRNA from 1 species
CCAAUAGCGUAUAUUAAAGUUGUUGCAGUUAAAAAGCUCGUAGUUGAAUUUCGGGGUUAGUAGGUCGGUCGUGCCACAGGUCUGUACUGGUCUCACUGAUUCCUCCUUCCUGAUGAACCGUAAUGCCAUUAAUUUGGUGUUGCGGGGAAACUGGACUGUUCCUUUGAAAAAAAUUAGAGUGUUUAAAGCAGGCUAACGCUUGAAUACAUUAGCAUGGAAUAAUGAAAUAGGACGUUCGAUCCUAUUUUGUUGGUUUCUAGGAUUGACGUAAUGAUUAAUAGGGAUAGUUGGGGGCAUUAGUAUUCAAUUGUCAGAGGUGAAAUUCUUGGAUUUAUUGAAGACUAACUACUGCGAAAGCAUUUGCCAAGGAUGUUUUCAUUAAUCAAGAACGAAAGUUAGGGGAUCGAAGACGAUCAGAUACCGUCGUAGUCUUAACCAUAAACUAUGCCGACUAGGGAUCGGAUGAUGUUAAUUUUUUAAUGACUCAUUCGGCGCCUUACG